rnacentral:rRNA from 1 species
UUAUCGGUGAUGGAUGGGGAUGCGUCUGAUUAGCUUGUUGGCGGGGUAACGGCCCACCAAGGCUACGAUCAGUAGGGGUUCUGAGAGGAAGGUCCCCCACAUUGGAACUGAGACACGUCCAAACUCCUACGGGAGGCAGCAGUGAGGAAUAUUGGUCAAUGGACGAGAGUCUGAACCAGCCAAGUAGCGUGCAGGAUGACGGCCCUAUGGGUUGUAAACUGCUUUUAUAAGGGAAUAAAGUGAGUCUCGUGAGACUUUUUGCAUGUACCUUAUGAAUAAGGACCGGCUAAUUCCGUGCCAGCAGCCGCGGUAAUACGGAAGGUCCGGGCGUUAUCCGGAUUUAUUGGGUUUAAAGGGAGCGUAGGCCGGAGAUUAAGCGUGUUGUGAAAUGUAGACGCUCAACGUCUGCACUGCAGCGCGAACUGGUUUCCUUGAGUACGCACAAAGUGGGCGGAAUUCGUG